rfam:Macaca mulatta chromosome 17, whole genome shotgun sequence.
UUAAAGGUCUCUUUUGAGGCCAUACAAUUGAUACAUAAAACUAAAG